GAUGAACGCUGGCGGCGUGCCUAAUACAUGGAAGUCGAGCGAACGGACGAGAAGCUUGCUUCUCUGAUGUUAGCGGCGGACGGGUGAGUAACACGUGGAUAACCUACCUAUAAGACUGGGAUAACUUCGGGAAACCGGAGCUAAUACCGGAUAAUAUUUUGAACCGCAUGGUUCAAAAGUGAAAGACGGUCUUGCUGUCACUUAUAGAUGGAUCCGCGCUGCAUUAGCUAGUUGGUAAGGUAACGGCUUACCAAGGCAACGAUGCAUAGCCGACCUGAGAGGGUGAUCGGCCACACUGGAACUGAGACACGGUCCAGACUCCUACGGGAGGCAGCAGUAGGGAAUCUUCCGCAAUGGGCGAAAGCCUGACGGAGCAACGCCGCGUGAGUGAUGAAGGUCUUCGGAUCGUAAAACUCUGUUAUUAGGGAAGAACAUAUGUGUAAGUAACUGUGCACAUCUUGACGGUACCUAAUCAGAAAGCCACGGCUAACUACGUG
rnacentral:rRNA from 1 species